AUGUUGAUGGUUGUUCACAGUGUACAUGUACAUCAGAUUGCUCAGCGAUGCUUGGUGUUUUAUUAUGUACCAAGUUAUUUGUCAGACAUACAUAAGCUUGUAUGUUUCUCCCACGAUCUUUUCUUGCACACUGGUUAUUUUUAUAUGGGUCCUUUAGGUACAACGCAUAGCAUGUAUAUUUUUAAACUUCAAAUUUCAAAUAUAUGCCAGAAUAGUAUUAUGUUUUUUCAUUGUAGGUUGAGAAGUUCAAUAAUACAGUACAUGGUUACUUGGAUACUUGGAGAAUAUGGAUCUGUUUGGUUCAGAGCCGAGAGCCGCCGUGCCAAAUUGUUGGCAAAGUGCGUUGGCCAGCAUUUGGAUGGACGCCAACUUUGGUCCUGCUUCAGUUUGCUGCUCCAACUCUUGGUGAGAUGA
rnacentral:rRNA from 1 species